CCUAGAAAUGGCAAAAAGACAAAAAAAAAAAAAAAAAGAUUAAGUGGGGGGAGUUCCCAUCGUGGCUCAGUGCUUAACGAAUCCGACUAGGAACCAUGAGGUUGCAGGUUCGAUCCCUGGCCUCGCUGUGGCUGUGGUGUAAGCCGGCAGCUGUGGCUCUGAUUGGACCCCUAGUCUGGGAACCUCCAUGUGCUGCGGGUGCGGCCUUAAAAAGAAAAAAAAAAAAAAAAAGAUUAAGUGGGGGGAGUUCCCAUCGUGGCUCAGUGCUUAACGAAUCCGACUAGGAACCAUGAGGUUGCGGGUUCCACCCCUGGCCUUGCUCAGUGGGUUAAGGGUCUGGCAUUGCCGUGAGCUAAGGUUUAGGUUGCAGACUCGGCUGGGAUCUUGCAUUUGCUGUGGCUAUGGCGUAGGCCAUCAGCUGUAGCUCUGAUUAGAUCCUCACCCAGGGAACCUCCAUAUGUCAAGACAGGUGUGGCCCUAGAAAGAACAAAAAGACAAAAAAUAAAAAUAAAAAAAAGAAAUGUGUUCUGUGAAAUGAAGGGAUCAAUGGAUGACUAAGGAGUGAACAGGAGGUAAGAACAUAGAAACGGCAGUGUAGAUGACUCCUUUAAGAUGUUAAACAGUGAAAGAAAAAAACAUAACAGACCCAUGUGGGUCUAGGACUUUAUUAGUUUGUUUACUUGCUUAUUUGAGAUAGAGAUAUACCCAUAUUUAAUGCUGAGAAGAAUCCAGGAGGAGAGAGUGGGUGAGUAGACUGAUUAAAGAGUUGGAAGAGUAGAAAAAGUUGAUGGAGCAAGGUCUUGAAAAAGCAAGCCUGUAGGAUUCAUAGUAUAGGUUGUGGAAUGAGUCAUGCGGAUUGUCUUACAGCACUGGGGCUCAGUUUGGGCCCUGGAGCACUGGGGCUCAGUUUGGGCCAUGGAUUUGGCAGUAUAUAGAAAUGGACAAAAUUACUCAGAGAUGUACAAAAUUAAUAAAAAAUAUAGAGAAGGACAGGGGUUGUUUUUUUUUUUUUUUCCUUUUUUUCUUUUUUUUUUUUGGCUGCACCUGAGACAUAUGACUGUCACAGGCCAGGGAUUGAAUCUGAGAUGCAGCAACUGCUAUUGCAAAGCAGGAUCCUUAACCCACUAUGCCAGGCUGGAAUUGAACCCUCUCCACGGCAGAGACAAUGCCGGAUCAGGAACUCCAAGGACAGAGUAUUUUUAUAAACCUGAAAUUCAGAAUCGCACAUCUUAACCCAAAUUGAAAAUCUUUCCUUCCUUCCUUCCUUCCUUCCUUCUUUCUUUCUUUUUCUUUCUUUCUCUUUUUGCUUUUUAGGGCCACACUUGUGGCAUAUGGAAGUUCCCAGCCUAGGGUUCAAAUUGGAGCUGCCAGCCACAGCCACAGCAAUCCCAGAUCUGAGCCAUGUCUGUGACCUACACCACAGCUAAUAGCAAUACCGGAUCCUUAAACCACUGAGAAAGGCCAGGGAGCGACUCAAAUCCUCAUGGGUGCUAGUCGGGUUCAUUACCACUGAACCACAACAGGAACUCCAGAAAUUUCUUAUUUUGGCUUUUUUUCCCCCCUACAGUUCAGUUUUUGCAGAUACAAAAACAUACGUAGGAGUUCCGUCAUGGCUCGGUGGUUAACGAAUCCAACUAGGAACCAUGAGGUUGCGGGUUCAAUCCCUGGCCUUGCUCAGUGGGUUAAGGAUCCUGCGUUGCUGUGGUUCUGGCGUAGGCCAGUGGCUACAGCUCCAAUUAGACCCCUAGCCUGGGAACCUCCAUAUGCCACGAGAGUGGCCCAAGAAAUGCCAAAAAGACAAAAA
ensembl:lncRNA